UUUUAUGCGAUUCAAUCGUUUAGCCUUUGUCUUCUUCAAACUCAUCUGAGAAAUUCAAUCGUUUCUACAGCUUCAUGUUCUCCUCUUCAACACAUAUUUUUUUUUUGGCCAAUUCAACGUAUAUGUUCCUCAAAAAAAUAAUCCUAAAGGCAUGAAUCGAUUUCCUUCCAAUCACCUCCCCACCUUAUAUAUUCCUCAUCUCUCUUGCUUCUCCCCUUCACCAAAUUCACGGAAAAAAAGUUAUUAGAGCAAUCAAUGACAAUCCAAACUGAGUAAUCAACAGGAAAGGCCCCCUCCGCUCUGUUCUUUCCGUUUGUUUAGUCCAGGAUGUCAUAGAGGAGAACACCGAGAGGCAAGGCAAACAUGGAAGCAACGCUGCAGUUGCCUCAGUGUAAACAAUGAUAGCUCCACUGACGAUGAAUUAGAUCUGUUCGGUGGUUCUGCUAAUUAUUUUAACGCGAAAUCCCUGCAACGCCUCUGAUCAUCUCAAGAGCUUGAUCCCAUGCGUGAGCAUCACUGAGAGGAGCGUAAAAAAUUGUAAAGAUGGACAAACCAGUGAAACGAAAAUACUCUUUCUUUGCAAGCUGGAUGGCUUUACUUUGGCUUGGAGAUACAAUACUGCCACUACGUUAUCAUACGGCUGCGUCACUUCACUUACAGAGUCUCUUUAUAUGUUGGAGCUAGCAGACUCUUUUCUGGUUUCAUGGACAAUUCUCUAAAUCAAAACAGUUCAUGCCAAUGAAAUUUCAGGCUCAAUGAAGAAAACAAAGUUGACCUUCUGAGAAAUCAUGCAAAGAAUUAGCAGUGAGGGAGCAACACUUUAAUUUGGCCUGCUGUUGAAAGAGCUUCAACGAACUGAUUUUUCGAAACUGCGAAGAGCUUAUUCCACAGGUCGGUUAAAGAUAUAAAUCAUGCAUUGCGACAGUUAUCCCUCUCGGUCACGUCGACAAUUAACUACUUUCUUCCUCCUUCAAUUCUUUGCUUGAAAGUUACUUCAUCUCCACUGCCCUGUUUUGUCUAUAUUUAGCUCUGAAAAAUCUUCUGCUUCUAACCUACAUCGGUGCUCAACUCGGCAUUAUCGCUAUGGAUUCACACAUUGCAGGUAAGGCCAAAAGGUAGAUAUAGAUCAAAUAAUCUUCAUCAUAUGUUGACAAGGUAUGUGAAAACCAGAGUUUUAAGUAGAUCCAACCAGUUAUGUUUUAAACCAUACAUCUCUUUAUUUUUGCAAGGAUAUCUCUGUAGAUUCGGAUCCGAGCCAAUCAUACGCUUUUGAAAUCUGUGGAGAGAUCUUACAAGAAAACUACAAGAUCUAGCUUAUACCACUUUCAAUGCAACAUUGUGGUGUACUCUUCAUGGUAGAGACCGGUUCUGAACUUACUCGGGAGCUUGCUCAUCAGAUUGGGGAGGAAACUAUCAAGUUUUCCAAGUAUCUAGGAUUGGGGUGCCUUCUAUAGUGGGUGGUCAGUCGAUUGAAGAACUGUGUUUUAAGAUGAUAACACAAGGGUGUGAAUAUUGUGAUUUCCACUCCUGGUUGUUUGAUUGAUACGGUAUGAUGUGGUCAGUCCGUGCAACGAUCUGAUUCUUGAUGAGGCAGAUCAGAUAAUAGACAUGGGCUUAAUUCUCAAGUUGUUGGUGUGUUAGAUGUUAUGGCUUCAGGAAAUUUGAAACCCUAUAACAAAGAAGAGCUGGACGAAGUAAUUGAGACAAUAUUACAAACCCAAAAACUAAUAUUUUUAAAACCGGACCGGAUACCGACUCGGUAAGCUACUGGUUAAGUGGUCGGACCGGUUCAACCGGUCGAACCGGAUUUUCUAUUUAAAAAUAAAUAAAUCUAAAUAAUCAU